rnacentral:rRNA from 1 species
AGAGUUUGAUCCUGGCUCAGGAUGAACGCUAGCUACAGGCUUAACACAUGCAAGUCGAGGGGCAGCAUGAUUGAAGCUUGCUUCAAUUGAUGGCGACCGGCGCACGGGUGAGUAACACGUAUCCAACCUUCCGUACACUCAGGGAUAGCCUUUCGAAAGAAAGAUUAAUACCUGAUGGUAUCUUAAGCACACAUGUAAUUAAGAUUAAAGAUUUAUCGGUGUACGAUGGGGAUGCGUUCCAUUAGGUAGUAGGCGGGGUAACGGCCCACCUAGCCGACGAUGGAUAGGGGUUCUGAGAGGAAGGUCCCCCACAUUGGAACUGAGACACGGUCCAAACUCCUACGGGAGGCAGCAGUGAGGAAUAUUGGUCAAUGGACGAGAGUCUGAACCAGCCAAGUAGCGUGAAGGAUGAAGGUCCUACGGAUUGUAAACUUCUUUUAUAAGGGAAUAAAACCUCCCACGUGUGGGAGCUUGUAUGUACCUUAUGAAUAAGCAUCGGCUAACUCCGUGCCAGCAGCCGCGGUAAUACGGAGGAUGCGAGCGUUAUCCGGAUUUAUUGGGUUUAAAGGGAGCGCAGACGGGUCGUUAAGUCAGCUGUGAAAGUUUGGGGCUCAACCUUAAAAUUGCAGUUGAUACUGGCGUCCUUGAGUGCGGUUGAGGUGUGCGGAAUUCGUGGUGUAGCGGUGAAAUGCUUAGAUAUCACGAAGAACUCCGAUUGCGAAGGCAGCACACUAAGCCGUAACUGACGUUCAUGCUCGAAAGUGUGGGUAUCAAACAGGAUUAGAUACCCUGGUAGUCCACACGGUAAACGAUGGAUACUCGCUGUUGGCGAUAUACGGUCAGCGGCUUAGCGAAAGCGUUAAGUAUCCCACCUGGGGAGUACGCCGGCAACGGUGAAACUCAAAGGAAUUGACGGGGGCCCGCACAAGCGGAGGAACAUGUGGUUUAA